GUAGUUCAACGGUUAGAACGGGUGGCUGUUAACCACUUGAUGGAGGUUCGAUUCCUUCCUUUCCCGCCA
rnacentral:tRNA from 1 species